AUGACUUAGUGGCGGACGGGUGAGUAACGCGUGAGGAACCUGCCUUCAGGAUGGGGACAACAGACGGAAACGACUGCUAAUACCGAAUAAGUUCCAAGAGCCGCAUGGCCCAUGGAAGAAAAGGUGGCCUCUACCUGUAAGCUAUCGCCUGAAGAGGGGUUUGCGUCUGAUUAGCUGGUUGGUGAGGUAACGGCUCACCAAGGCGACGAUCAGUAGCCGUACUGAGAGGAUGAACGGCCACACUGGAACUGAGACACGGUCCAGACUCC
rnacentral:rRNA from 1 species